GCCGGUUUAGCUCAGUGGUUAGAGCUUUUGCCUUGUAAGCAAAGGGUCGAGAGUUCAAUUCUCUCAAUCGGCU
rfam:Paramecium tetraurelia chromosome undetermined scaffold_48, whole genome shotgun sequence.